rnacentral:lncRNA from 1 species
UGAAGAAAGCCUCUAAGCAGUCAAGUUGAGUAAUAUUUUUAACUUACUUUUCUCGACUUUGAAAGAGUGCACCUGUGAAGAAAUAUCUAGGGCAUAGAUAUUUCCUCAUCUCUCUUUAUCAUCUUGCUUUCUACCCUGUUGGUCUGCAUAUGGUUAGAUGAAUCUGUGUGACUAAUAUCAGGGCAAUCUUGACCUCAGUGUAUCAACUUCUGUGAGCCUGUCUUGUCUAAAAUGAAUUUGGCUGAGUUAUAGAGCCUCUAAGAAACUCUUACCAGAGGAAGGAAGACAAAAGUUUGCAGUGGGAAAGUGAAGAGGUCAAAAAAGGAGCUAGAACUUACUAAAUAAACAUUUUAGCAUAUAUUAUCAAUAUAAGAGUAACCCAGGAAAAUCAUUGUUAUGGCUUCUAUAUUCUUGAAUUUAGUAGUAAAAAUAAUUUGAUUUUGGCUUAAAUGUAAUGUUCUAUUUCUUAAGGUCCUGUUUCUCAAGGUCCCAUUUCUUUUCACUCUACUUGUCAAGUUCAAGACCAUUUAAAAAAUUAGUAUUUUGCUAGUACAGUUUAUUAAUAACCAUCUCAUUUAAAAGAGUAGAGAUAUAUGUCAGGUGCACUCAACUUUAUGUUUCAGAUCACCUUGGAUACUGUUUUAGCAUUAGUUUAAUAAUUUUUGAUAAUUCAUCAUAAAUUUCCAUCACAGAUUAGCAUAAAUUCUACAGGCCAAUUUUUUAAAUAAAUCCUUGUUUUACCUCAUCAAGAGAGAAAUAAAGAGUGAGAGAAAAGUGAAAGAGAUUGAGAUGGGGUAGAAUCCGAUAACAUUUAAAUUUAAGGGAACAUGCCUGCUUUGUGUGUUUGUCUGUUUGGUUAUUUCCAGAAACAUAGGAAUCUCAGUAGGAGAAAUUGAGUAUAAUGUUCUGUAUUUAAGGGAUGCAGUUUAUAUGUCUUUUUGGUCAAUACAGUUAUUCCCUUUAUUCAGGGGGAUAUGUUCCAAGACCCUCAAUGGAUGCCUGAACCAUGGAUAGUAGUAAACCCUAUUGGGAGGAUCACCUGAGCCUGUGGGGUUGAGGCUACAGUGAGCCAUGAUUGUGCCAUUGCACUUUAGCUUGGAUAAUAGAGCAAGACUCUGUCUCAAAAAACAAACAAAUAAAACGAAAUAACAACAACAACAAAAAACACUUGUCUUAUAUCAUGUCCGGAAUUGAAAACACCUGUCACGCAGUCAAAAACUAGAUUAAUUUUCUAUGUGGAAUAUAGAAAAAGAAAGAAGUUGAAGUGGAAAAUCUGGAGCAAAAUAUUUAUAUUGAAAUAAAAUCUGAACUUUUUUUUGAAAAGAUACACUGGAAUUUACUACACAAAUAAGUCAAGGCUCUCUCUAAAGAAUGUGGCAUAUAAUUUUUGUCUUUAAUUCUAGCAGAUCGUGCUUUCUGCCCUUAGAGAAAAGGUAUUACAUGUUGGUAACUGAGGUAUAAAAAAACCAAAGCCCAGAUCUCUUCCCGUGCUCCACGGAAAUCAUGCCUCGCCCGAGUCUAUAAUUGGCUGAAUUCAUUUCCAAUGAAUGAAAUGCAAAAACAUGGAAAAGACUAAAAUUGAAAUUUUAUAAUUUAAAAGAUAGGAAGCAAGUAGGUGUCUGGAGAUGGCUGCAGAGACAUCCCGUCCCCCUCGGUAGCACUGAUUGCAUUUUCCAUGAAGGUUGCUCUUAACUUCAAAGCAGACACUCUGCUGUGAAGGUUCUGAGAGGUUAGUUCUGGGUCUCGUUGUUUCAAUUAAAAAAUUAAAACAAAAAAGAAAUUAUUCCUAGGUUACUAAGUAUUUAAGAGC